rnacentral:rRNA from 1 species
GCAUUUCCCUCAACUGUGUCCAUUAAUCAAGAACGAAGGUUAGGGGAUCGAAGACGAUCAGAUACCGUCGUAGUCCUAACUAUAAACGAUGUCAACCAAGGAUUGGAUGAAAUUCAGAUGUACAAAGAUGAAGAAGCAUUGUUUCUUAAUCUGAGUAUAUCAAUAUUACCUUGUUCAGAACUUAAAGAGAAAUCUUGAGUUUAUGGACUUCAGGGGGAGUAUGGUCACAAGGCUGAAACUUAAAGGAAUUGACGGAAGGGCACACCAGGAGUGGAGCCUGCGGCUUAAUUUGACUCAACACGGGAAAACUUACCAAGACCGAACAGUAGAAGGAAUGACAGAUUAAGAGUUCUUUCAUGAUUUAUUGGGUAGUGGUGCAUGGCCGUUCUUAGUUGGUGGAGUGAUUUGUCAGGUUAAUUCCGGUAACGAACGAGACUGAAACCUAUUAAUUAGUUUUCUGCCUAUAAGACAGAAAUGUUCGCAAGAACAGGUGCGUAAGUACCACUUCUUAAAGGGACACAUUUCAAUUGUCCUAUUUUAAUUGUAGUUAUCUAAUUUCGGUUAGAGCUCUUUUAACGUGGGAAAAAGAAAAAGGAAGCAUUCAGCAAUAACAGGUCUGUGAUGCCCUUAGACAUCUUGGGCCGCACGCGCGCUACAAUGGAGUUACUAGAGAGCAUUUUAUCAUUUACACCUUAUUUAUUAGGCUUUGUCUAAUAAUUAAGGAUAGUGAGUGGUGUACCGAGAUUGAAAUAGUUAAGGAAAACUCAAAAGAACGUACAUGACAGGGAUAAAUGAUUGGAAUUAUUUGUUUUGAACGAGGAAUUCCUUGUAAUAUCGAGUCAUUAACUCGAGAUGAA